rnacentral:lncRNA from 1 species
AAAAAAAAAAAAAAAAAAAGAAACUGUAUAAUUAUUUAUGUGCGUCAUCAUUUUUACUUUUCUUGUCUUUCAUACCUAAAAUUUUGUCUUUCACAUAGUUUCGGACGGACUGUUUCUCGAAUAUUGUCGCGCAUAAAAGCGAGGUUAUGAUCGUUAAGUUAGUCAUUUUUUUUUCUGUUUCAGGAUUGCUUAACAUAAAAUAAUUAUUACACUCUUCCAAAUACAUAUAAACCACUGUUAGAUUGUUUUUGCAUUUGACUUGCGUAUAUUUUAAUAAUAUAUUGUACGAAAAUAAAGACAAAACCUGAAGUAAAAUGUGAAAACUACUUCUACUGCAGUGAAGUAAACGCUUUCUGAAUGUUAGUAGUCAAAACUAUUUGCACUCUGCUCUAUGAACCUCGGGUAAUAGUUUUUACUGUUAGCCGACAUGCCAUUCAAUCAGGUAAUGGCCAGGGGUCCGGUAACCCGGCCUCUAGUCUAGAUGUUCGGUUACUUGUCCUCCAGACAACCCGUGCAUGGCAGGCUAGAGGUCUAGUAAUCCUUAUAGAUACUGAGACUUUUCUUGUAUUACAAAGAGAAUAAAAUCAUGAUAAAGUAAAUAUCAAAUUACAUUCUAUUUUAUUUAAAGUUAGGCCAGAAGUUAAUAUUAUAUGUAGCAGGGACCUAUGGUGGCAUAAACAACGCCCGGACCGAGAAAGCAUGCACUAGAAAGACGCCACCAUAGGAAAAUCCAGUAGCGAUGGUGAUCCGGAAACAUACAGACGUCUACACACAAUGGUAAACAAACAACAGGUAAACAGAUCAUCUAAACGCAAAAACAGGUCAUGCGGAUAGACAUCAAAAUGUUGAAUUGAACUGGUAUUUGAGACUUAAAUCUUCAGAAUAUUAUUUCAUAAAACUGGUGGAUAAAUCGAAGUGGAAGUCUUUAGGAAUGGCGAGUAAACAGUUGUGUCUCUUUGGAGAAACGAUGAUACAAUAUCUACGUCUACAUUCAAAUAAUGCUAUUCAAGGUAACACUAUACUCAAAGAAGCUGACAUUUGGCAGUGUGAGAAAGGAAGUCUACUUUUCCACGACAGGAAAAAUGAUAUUUGCAUGUAUAUUUUGUCGGAAGCAGCUGCAAAACAACGGUCAGGAAACUUUUUGAAAUUAUGGUGUGGUAGCCUAUUUUACUGUUUUUGGUCCGCCUUGGUGGGACGAUAUUAAGGUAGAGUUUUAUAUGAAAAUCUACGGUAAAGUCUGAUGAUCUCGAAUGUGGAAAAAAAUAGACUUGAUUAAGAAGUUUCCGCUAAGAAAUAAAGCCUCUGCGUUGGAUCAGCUGCAUUUUUUUGCCGUCUUCUGAAGAUCUUAUCUUUCAGGAAUAAAUUCGCUGGACCAGCUACUCUGCCUAACUGUGACCUCCAUUUCUCUGUCUCUCCUUCCGGUGCGACUCAAACUCCGAUGCUCUCGAUCUGAAGUCGAAGGCCCUACGACUGAGCUAUCAUGGCUAACGGAUGUAAUUUUGUGUAAUAGUAAAGCGAUGUUAAAAUAAGUGUUCAUCACAUUGAAUCGACAACGGCCGCAUACUAACGUUUUCUACAAAGCUAAGCUUGUUUAAAUUAAAAUUCGUUUACAAUUCAUGUGCGAAGCCACUACUGCAGACGACAAUUCAUAUUGGAAGACGAAUACACUGCAUAUCACUUUGAACUGAUACCAACGCGAAGGUAACCACAGGGACAGUUUACUGAGGUAUUGACACACUAAAUAGCUGUAGGCUCUUCUUUUAUUUAUAUGAAACAGAGGAACUUCUAGUGGCUGCAGCGCACACUGAGUAAAGCACACACCGGGGACUAUUUGAAAAGACUGUGACUUAGUUACCUUAUCUUGAGGAAUGUUGUCAGUGCAGUAUACAAAUCGAAAGAAUGACUUAUUUUCCAUGAGAAGUUAAGAUUUUUUAUGACGAAAACGCUACCAACAUUUCAGGGAUAGAUCUGUUAAAUAAUUUCAACCAAAACAAUACAUCAAAAGAAAGGAAUGUAUUUCUACAGAACAAAAACAGCGAUCUAUUUGAAUCUGUUAUUUUCUACCAUUUUUUUGCGCCAUUUUCUUAUUUGUUAAUGUCUGUAUAUACCCAGUGAGUUGCAAGUCGGCACGUUUGAAACAUAGUUUUACAAUGUAGAAUUUCAUUGAACCUUUUUCUUUAAAAAAAAAAGAAAAGAAAAACGAAGGAAAUUCAGUUAUUAAAAAAGAUAAGAUCGUAUGCUUAAUUUAUUGUACGACCGAUUUUGCCUUCAUUUCUUUUUUUAAUGUGUCAUUCAUAAAAGUUCGAAAAUUUCCGAUGGUAUAAAAUCAAUAGAUUGUCAGUUUUCAGUUAAACAUAAGUUUGUUUGUUGGUUUGUUUUGAGCUUAGCGCCAUAGAAACAGUGUUUCAGUUAUGUAAUGACAGACAGUUAACCUAACCGGUGUUCAUUGAUUUACAGACCUGAUCUCCGCAAGUACUUGCCAACUUCCCCACAUAAAUCAGAGGUGCAGGACAAUGAUUUCAGGUACUGUGCAUUUUAUCAGAGCACACGCCUCGCACAAUCGAACUCACGACUCCGCGAUACCUAGAUCUGCGUUCUCCCUAUUUGGGCAAAGCGGGCGGACCUAAAACAAAUAAAUAGCUGGAUUCUACAAAAAAUCAAUGGUUUCAUUGUCGCAGCUAAAUACACUGAAUGACAGAUAUAACUGCACAAGACAAAUACUUUUUUUAAAAACUUCUAUAACUGAAAAACGCAUCAUCGAAGAAGUUGUUUAUUACGGAAAUGAUACUGAUGUUAUUUAUAAAACUAAUUCAUUAUUUAACAAUGUUUUGUGGUGUUAAGGUGUACACAUCGACUUUUAUCACAUGUCGUAUUUAAAAGAUAUCAGUGUAGCUGCACUGGUUUUAUUUUACUUGUUAUUGUGUUCUGUACCGAUAUGAUAUAUUUUAUUGUACCAAUAAAGCUGAAUAUUUCAAGUUGAGAUAUCGCUUUCUGUCUGUCUAUUUGAUAUUCAGUCACAUUUUCCAUACCUAAGUUGAAGUCCUAAUGGUACAGCCGAACUUUCAUUGAAACUUAAAAUGCACACAGAUAGCGCUGAGACGAAAUGCAUCGUACAAGAAACUGAAAUCUUGUGUUGUAGUAUUCAGAUUAUUUCCAGUUAUGUAGCUAUUUUUUUUUGUCCAAAAAUACUAAGAACAUCUCGGACAACGUAACUUUUAUCAAAUUUAUGAGAUAGAGAGCAGUACAGAAGAACAGUAACCUCGUUGAAAGCAUUUAAAAUCAUGUCCCUUUUGUACUUAA